CUGCUGCAAGUGCACAUGCUUGCAUGUGUGGACACGCCCAUAGGGUUUACUUUGUGGACCCUAAUCCAGCUGCUUUGCACUGCUUAGGCAACCCAGAGCACUCCCUAGAGGGCAACUGGAUUCUUAUGGGGGGCACUGGGAAGAAGGAUGGAUGCUGGAGGAUGAAUGCACAAGAUCUUCAACUGGUGCAACAGCUCAUUUCAGGCAAUAUACCUUAGAUUGACCCUGAGGGUGCAUCAGCCUCUAGCUAUUCUCCUGCUCAUGGAGGUGGUGGUUGUAGAGACACUCUUCCUACCUCUCCUCUUGAAUUGUGCCAACUGUCAGUUUGGUGGAGUUGAAGUCUGAGACACAGAAUUCAUAUUUAAAAAUAGACCUUGAGACAGCGAUAAUCCCUCUAUGAAGCACCUGUACUUAGCCAGCAGUUCUGAAAUUUCUUUCUGCUUCUGAAGUACUCUGAAAGUUGAUAUAGUGCAGCUGGAAAGAUUGAUUGACAUUGUCCAAAACUCCUUUAUAUGUAAUGGAAUCAGCAGCAAAGUCAAUCAAUACCAAGCAGUAGAUAUUGAUUUGCAUUAAAUGGAAUUCCAUUACAUCAGUGUGGCUUAAGGGCAAUCACUCUUUCAUGUUGCAUUCCAUGUACUAUCAGUUCCAGGAUGUUAUACUUACUGAGUAAUCCCAAACCAAAUGCAUUUUCUGUACUUCUGCCCAUAGAAAAUGAAUGAGUAUGUGAUGGUAGGUAUAGAAUUGCCUGAAGAUUACCUGCGUUUCCUAUUUCUUGACUGCUUACAAGUGUCAUCAAGCAAAGCAAUGGGCUUCACCAGUAUAUCCUAAGUGUGUGUAAAAAGAAAUAAAAGAACAAUUUCAGUGGCAAAAGAGCUUGUUUCCUGGGAUUGUAAUUUUCACUUGCACCAUUACCCUGUCUGCACUGCAAGAUAAAAGAAUCCCAACCCUUCAAGUGACCAACUAUAGCUUGCAAAAUUGCCAGUGACAGAUGAGGAGCACCAACCAGACUGAAGGAACAUUCUGAAAAGAGACUAACUGCAGGAAUAUGAAGUGGCAAAGCGGUAUUCACACUAUUUUCAAACUUCAAACCAAGUCUCUCUGCCUUGUCCUCCUAUCUUUUUAUAUACAAUUUAAGUAAAAUAUGUAAUAGCUUUUUUAAAGCAAAAUUAAAUGGAAGGCAAGUAAAAUAUAUUUUACAAUUCACUGACUGUUAUAAAACAUGAAACUAAAAAAUAAAGGUCAUUUUGGUAUGCUGAA